rnacentral:rRNA from 1 species
GACGAACGCUGGCGGCGUGCUUAACACAUGCAAGUCGAACGAUGAAACCUAGCUUGCUAGGUCGAUUAGUGGCGAACGGGUGAGAAACACGUGAGAAACCUGCCUUUCAUUUUGGGAUAACUCCGGGAAACCGGAGCUAACACCGAAUACUCCGUCUCGGCGGCAUCCCUUAGCCGGGAACAACUUAUGAUGAAAGAUGGUCUCGCGGCCUAUCAGCUAGUUGGUGAGGUAAAGGCUCACCAAGGCGACGACGGGUAGCCGGCCUGAGAGGGCGACCGGCCACACUGGGACUGAGACACGGCCCAGACUCCUACGGGAGGCAGCAGUGGGGAAUAUUGGGCAAUGGGCGCAAGCCUGACCCAGCGACGCCGCGUGAGGGAUGAAGGCCUUCGGGUUGUAAACCUCUUUCAGUAGGGAAGAAGCGAAAGUGACGGUACCUAAAGAAGAAGCACCGGCUAACUAUGUGCCAGCCGCCGCAGUAA